CCCGGGACUCUCGAACGACGGUUCCGGGCCAAGGCUUAAAUAUUUAAGAAAUGUAUAAAUCGCUGAAAAUCUACGAAAGAACUCUAAAAAACUUUGGAAAAAUGCUAAUGAAACACGAGAAGAAAAAGGCAUUCCUGGCUGAUUGAAAACAAGGCAGCAAUUUUCGACUUCCCCUUUACGUUCAGAAGCAUCCACAACAUACAAGUCUGUCCACACAGGCCUUGACUGCACAGCAAGCUUCGAAAAAUGUUUGUC